rnacentral:lncRNA from 1 species
CUUCCUCUUAGGCUGUGUUGUGUGUUCUCACUUUUACUUCACCAUCUGAGUUUUCCUGCCCACCCUGUUCCCUACCCUCAACUUCUGCCAAUCGGAAAACAACCUAUAAAACGCAGCACCAAGAUUCCCACCGCCCCCUCCCUCCCACUAUGUGGUUCCUUCUCAAUUUCUCAAACAGAUAGAAGACUUUGAGGGAUCGAGAACUUUUGGUGCUUAGCAUGAUGUUUCAAGUAUUCAUGAAAUAUUUCGGGAAUGGAACUGAUAGUUACUGAAAAGAGAUGUCAGCGGAAGGGGAGUAAGCUGAAGUCAAAGGACCAAGGCUCUAAUUCUACCCCUGCCAAAACCCAAGGUACCUUAGUCAAGCUCCCUAAGGCCUGUAAUUCAACUUCUGUGACAUGAAGAGUCCUUUUCAAACUCUAGGAUUAUAUUAUUUGUG